ACUUGUUAUCAUCCUUGUGUUGCUUAUUUUGUCCUCUGAAUUCCUUGAACUUUGUAGAUAAAUUUUCUUCUGCCUAUUUUCUUUUGAUAGUUGAGAGGCAAAUACUAAUUAUUCAAAACCAGAACUCCUCUCCAAACAAUGGUUUUAUGAAUUCAUAAUGUAACUGGAUAGGUACUUGUAUGUAUUUUUUAAAAUGCCUUAUUUGCAUGUGAUCAAGUGUUUUUUUAAAUUCUGACAGUGAAUUAACUUGGGAAAAUUAGGAAAAAAGAUUUAUUUGUCAAACGUAAGUCUGUGGUUGUAGUUCAUUCCGAUUUCCCACGGAAUAAUAUUGCUAGAUGAUUAGUAUUUUCUGAUGCUCAAGAACACUUGUGAAAUGGAGCAGUUUACUUAGUAUGGUAAAAAAUGGAAUAAAUAGGGGCAGAUAAUCUUUGCAGUUAAAUAGAUUCGUAUUUUAAGCACAUGCAACUACAUGUGUCACUGACGUACUUAAUAUAUUUAAAGCCAUUCAGUUUUCUUUUAUUGAGAUAAGUGUUCAUAAAUCAUGAAAUUUACCUUUAAAAAUGCAUGGUUCCUUUGUUUUAGUAUGUUCAAAAUGUUGUGCAGUCAUCCCCAAUAUCUAGUUUUAAAGUAUUUUUGUUACCUCCUAAAGAAACUAUGUGCCCAUUGGCUGUCACUGUCCCCUUCCUUCUUCCGGCCCCUGGCUGCUACUAAUCUAUUUUCUUUCUGUUGAUUUGGGUAUUCUAGAUAUUUCAUGUAAGUAGAAUUACAUAAUAUGUAGCUCUGGCUUCUUUGACCCAUUACGUUUUCAAGGUUCAUCAAUGUAGCAUGUAUCAGUGUUUCAUUCCUUUUUUAUACAUGAAUAAAAUUCCAAAGCCAUUUAAUUUUGGUUUAAUGGAUACAUUGUACAUGUUAAAGAAGAGAUUGUCAUGAGGGAGGCUCAAAUAGGCAUUCUCAAUGUUGAAAAAUAGUGUACUUGGAAAUGUUGGUCCUAAAUGUACAGCAUAUUUAUAAAGAAGACUUGCUUUUUAAAUAGCCCCUGGAAAGUAGAGAUUUUUUUAUUGCCCUGGAGUUAGUUUAUGAAAUUUGAUAAAUAUCUGAUAAAUAUAUCUCAUAUAUGAACAUAAGUGGAAAGUUCUCUGGAAGCAUCAGUACUUCCACUAAGAUAAUGCUAUUUUUUAAAUAUUUAUUUAUUUAUUUUUAUUUAUUUGACAGAUAGAAUUAGAGAGAGAUAGAAAGGUCUUCUCUCCAUUGGCUCACCCUCCAAAUGGCCGCUAUGGCCAGAGCUAUACUGAUCUAAAGCCAGGACCCAGGUGCUUCUUCCCAGUCUCCCAUGAUGGUGCAGGGGCCCAAGCAUUUGGGCCAUCCUCCACCGCCCUCCCGGGCCACAGCAGGGAGCUGGACUGGAAGAGGAGCAACCGGGACUGGAACCUGGUGCCCAUAUGGGAUGCCGGCGCUGCAGGUGGAGGAUUAACCAAGUGAGCCACAUUGCUAACCCGAUAAUGAUAUUUUUAAAACGAUUCUAGGGACGGUAAAGAUGCCAGUUAUGAUGCCCACAUCCUACAUCUGAGUACUUGGAUUCGAUCCCUAACUCUAGCUCCUAACUCCAGUUUCUCACUAGUGCAGGCACUGGGAAGCAGUAAUCAUGGCUCAGGUCCACCCUAAGGCCAAGUGGUGUGAGUUCCUUGUUCCCUGGUCCAGCCCUGACCAUGUAGCCAUUUGGAGAGUGUAUCACUAGAUGGCAUCUUUCUUUCCGAAUUUUCAAAUAAAUAAUUUUUAAAAAAAUAUUUUACUUAGAAAAAAUUGAAGCACUGUGUGUUACAAUAAAAUUACUUUUAUUAUGAUAGAUUAUAGAAUAUUUUUCCCCUAAACUAUUUAGUAAAAAUAUUUCACAUUCCUCUUGACAUUUAAUAUCAGUGUAAUAAUCAUGUUUGAUACCAUAUAAUUUUGUAGAUGAUGACGUCUUCUGGGUCACAGAGACUGAAGAUUGAUUCCUAGAGGGUACUAACUUGCCUUUUUACACUGGGAAAGUUACUUAAGCUCUUUAAAUUUUAUUUGUAAAUUAGGCAACUGUUACAUGUCUUUUUGCAGAUAGUGGUUUAAAGGAUUAAAUUACAUAAUGUCCUCAAAAUUUCCAGUACAAGCUCUCAUAGAGGACACUGAAAACCUAAUUGUUUUUAUGCUAUAUCACAAUUAUAUUUGUUAUUUAAUAUUGGAUUCUGCUUUCCACUGAAGAUAAGAGAAUUCCAACUUAAAAAUUUUCUAUUGUUCAAUUAAUAGGGAUAUUUGUUAAUACUAAUAUUGACAAAUAUUCAGUUUCUAGAUGUAACUAUAUAUUGACUGAUAUUCAGUUUCUUAUUGAAUAAACACAGAGACAUUUUUAUUGGCACAUGAAAAAGAUUUUUAGCCAAUUAAAUCAACUGCUUAUAUUUUGAAGUUUCUUGUUGCAUUCAUAUACUCUAUACUUAAUUCCUAAGGAAAUUAUUUUUGUAUUUUUUAGUUCAGACUUUAAACAUUUUGAUGUCAUUGAAGUAAUUUUUCUGGCUCUUUAAGGAGGGUCACUUCAGUAAAAUCCUUACCAUUUAAGAUUCUUGGGGAAAUUUGAAUUCUUUAUUGAAUACUUUAAAAACUAACCUCCCAAAAGAACUUUGUUUUGCACUUUUAAAAUUUAUGAGAUAAGAAAUAUUUCAGUUAUUUGCAAAACUUCAAUUUUUGGCUGGCGCCAUGGCUCAAUAGGCUAAUCCUCUGCCUUGUGGCGCCAGCACACCAGGUUCUAGUCCCGGUCGGGGCACAGGAUUCUGAUCCGGUUGCCCCUCUUCCAGGCCAGCUCUCUGCUGUGGCCCGGGAGUGCAGUGGAGGAUGGCCCAAGUGCUUGGGCCCUGCACCCCAUGGGAGACCAGGAGGAAGCACCUGGCUCCUGCCUUCGGAUUAGCACGGUGCGCCGGCGGCAGUGCGCUGGUCAUGGCGGCCAUUAGAGGGUGAACCAACAGCAAAGGAAGACCUUUUUCUCUGUCUCUCUCUCUCACUGUCCACUCUGCCUGUCAAAAAAAAAAAAAAAAAGAAGAAGAAAAUAAAACUUCAAUUUUUAGUAAUUUGGGUAUUUUUCUUUUGAAAAAUAUUGCUAGUGAUUUGGCAACAAGUAUUUUAGAUUGGUAACUAAUAGUGUUACUUAGAGAAAACACUGCGUGGAAGUAUACUGUCAGAAUUUGACCUCCUCUUUGACAAAUAAUGAUCAUUACCCAAAUUAUUUUGUAAUUCUACUGAUAAAUUGAAUCUCCCUAAGAGAGAGUAGUCUAGAAAUAAUAAUAGGGUACAGGUUUAUGUCAUAGUGGUUAAGAUCUGCUUGGGACUGCCCUAUCCCAUGUUGGAGUGCCUGGGUUCAAGUUCCAGCUCUGCUUCUGAUUCUGGCUUCCUGCUGUUGCUUACACUAAGAGGCAGCAGGUGAUGCUUCAAGUAUUUGGGUCCCUGCCAGCCCUGUGAAGACCUGGGGAUUGAAUUCCAGGUUCCUUGCUUCAGCCUGGCCAAGCCCUAACUUUUGUAGGCAUUUGGGCAGUAAGCCAACAGGUGGGAGAUAUUUCUCUCCCUGUUUGUCUCUUCCUUUUAAAUAAAAAUAAAUGAAUAAAUUAUAGCAUUUUUUAAAGUAUACACUUUGCUGAUUUGUAAUAUCAAGUUGAUUUUUAUACAUGUCCAUAUUUGAGUAUAUAUUGUUUCAUAUUAUACCUUGGCCUUUAGAUGGCAGUAUUGUCUUUGUAUAUUUCAGUGGCACAGCUUUUGUGUCCUGGAUAUAACUAUAAGGAUAUAAUGCUUGUAUACGUUUCUGCUGUUCUUUUGAAAUAUUUGUUCUUCAGGUCAAAUUAAUGGGAACAUUUCUUUUUAAAGUUUGAAAUAUAGUUACAUCUAGAAUGCAACAAGAUGAAUUUGCCAUUUUACAUGAACAAUUAAAAUACUUGAACUUCCAUAUUUGUGGCACUAAUUUAAAUAGCCUAAACUUUAAAUAAAACAGGGAAGGAUAUCUGUGUUUAUCAGAGGGAGAGGUUUUAUUCCCACGGAAAGAAAGUGAGGGCAAUGGUUUGACAUUUUAAAACUCAAAUAAGUUACAGUGAAGAGAGUUGAGACAUACAGGUAGAAUCUUCCUAAAAGAAAAUUUUUAUUUCAGUCAUUUUUGAGUGAGACAAGUGCCAUGCACUUACAUGGAUGUAUUUUGCAUCUGCUCUAAAACUCUUGUGUAGACUCUAGAAAUAGAUUUGAGAAAUAUAACCAUAGUGAGAGUGUAGCAUAUUGUAUGCAUCUGUCUUUCUAGUGAUAGCUUUUAUAUCACUUCAGUGUACUUGCCACAAAAGCUAUUUUUAUGUCAUAAUUAGUUUGGGGAUUGUCAUAGUCCAUUUUUACUGCUGUAACAGAAUACCUGAGACUGGGUAGUUUGUAAAGAAUGGAGGUUUGUUUGGCUCACAGUUUUGGAAACUUACAAGUCCAAGAGCAUGGUGUCAGCAUCUGGCCAAACCCUUUGUGCUGCCUCAUCCCAUAGUAGAAAGAGGAAGGGCAGGGGGGAGAGAGUGAGGGGUAGAGACAGAACCUAACUUCCUUUUAGAAUAAGUCCUCUUGAGAUAACUAACCCAGUUCUGUAUUGAUGACAGAUCGUCCGUGAGUGUAGAGCUCAAUGUUCUAAUCACAUCUUAUUAGAUUUCAUUUCCUGACAUUGUUACUUUGGGGAUUAAGCUUCCAAAUAUGAACUUUGGGGAGCACAGUCAAACAUUGUGGGUGUGUAGUUAUUGAUGACAUAGAGACUUCAGUAAGUAUAUUUUAUCUGCUUUUUUACUCUUCCUGUAGCCAGAUUCUGCUUUUCUAUUUUUUUGACAGAGGAACUUUUUAGAUGGACUUUCAUUCAGUUUUGAAAUGAUGGGAUUGGAUAGAUUAUCUGUUGUUUGUUAUCCAGCCUGAUAUUUUAAAGUACUAGGAUUUUAUGAUUUAUUUAAAAAACAAUUUAUGUUUUAAGUCAUAGGGUCAGUAUAUUGAUAUAGAUCUGUGUGGGUCAUGUUUGCAUUUAGUCUAUUGUUUUUUCACAUUCUCCUCUGAAGAGUUAGGGACUAGUAUAGAUUUUUGAAUUAUCAGGAAAAUAGCCCUAUAGUAUGAAUAUAUUUUAGAAAUUUUUAGGUAAAUGAUAAAAAUUUCUUGGUUAAAACUUUUAUUUCCUAAAAGUAAAGUGUGAUUUUUUUUGUUUUCAGACUCUUGGUUAAUUGAUACUUUACUAGUUUUGUAAUUCAUUGACAUCUCUUACAGAUGAUUUGACAUCUAUUAGAGACACUUGGCCACUACUGUAAAAUAUUAUUUUGACUUUUAUUAUUCAUAAUAGGCAUUUGGCCUAUUGCUUGAGGACACCAGUUGAGAAAACUGCAUACUAUAUCAGAGUGCCUGGGUUCAAAACCCAUUCCACUCUCAAUGCUAGCUUUCUGCUAAUGCAGACCUUGCAGGCAUCAGUGAUAGCUCAGGUAGCUGUGUCCCUAUCACCCACAUGGGGGAGCUUGACUUGAGUUCCUGGCUCCCAUAUUUGGCCGGGUUCUAGUCCCAGUUGGGGUGCCGGAUUCUGUCCCGGUUGCCCCUCUUCCAGGCCAGCUUUCUUGACUUGAGUUCCUGGCUCCCAUAUUUGGCCUGGUCCAGCCUCAGCCACUUUAGGAAUAUGGGGAGUGAACAAAUGUAUGGGAGCUGUCUUUGUCUCUUUGCCUCUCAAAUAAAUAAAAUAAACUUCAAAGUUUAAAAAAAAUAUUCUUUGGAGGCUUGCAUGGAUGAGGUAGGUUCUAAAUUUAUCUUUCUAGACUUUCUUCCUCCUGACUGGAAGCAUUUUGAGAGAUUGAGGCAAAUGCUAUUUUUGUGUCACAUGGAAUGUGGCCCACACCUUGAUCCUGCUAUUUCCUACUCAUGUGACUUGGGUUAGUUGUGGGAAUUUUUGCACUUUGAUUUCCUUCUUUGCAGAAAAUGUAUAGUGCUGCUUCAAACAUGUUCUUAUGAGAAUGAGACUCAAUGAGAUUAAGAGGUAAAGUAUCACAUGUGUUUCAUGGCCCCUAACAUUGGAAGACUUCAGUGAAAGUUUUCUACCUCUCCCUGUCAGGGUUUGCUUUGUGUAAUCUACCAACUUGAGCUGGGCUGUGUCUGUGCGCAGUAUCACUGAUUUCACCGAUUAGCCACUGACAGUGAUUUGAGGCUGUUGCAAUAGAAUGGAUUGCAAUCGUGUAGAUCAUCAGCUGGGAUAGUAAGAUAAACAUUUGUGCAAAAUAUCAGUAGCUAGUUUGGCAUUUUUUGAGAACUUGCAUCCCAUAACCGUUUUAGUCUUCAGUGUAGAGUUAAUAUAUUGAGGGUCUUUAUAUAUGAAUUAAUAUAUUAAGGAGGGCCGGCGCCGCGGCUCACUAGGCUAAUCCUCCGCCUUGCUGCGCCGGCACACCGGGUUCUAGUCCCGGUCGGGGCGCCGGAUUCUGUCCCGGUUGCCCCUCUUCCAGGCCAGCUCUCUGCUGUGGCCAGGGAGUACAGUGGAGGAUGGCCCAAGUGCUUGGGCCCUGCACCCCAUGGGAGACCAGGAUAAGCACCUGGCUCAUGCCAUCGAUCAGCGGCGGCCAUUGGAGGGUGAACCAAUGGCAAAGGAAGACCUUUCUCUCUGUCUCUCUCUCUCACUGUCCACUCUGACUGUCAAAAAAAAAAAAAAAUAUAUAUAUAUAUAUAUAUAUAUAUAUAUAUAAAGGAGAUUAGUUGUCCUCUAAUCCCAGAUUUCCCCAUUACACUUCUGAUAUCUUGUUUCUCAAAUACUAUUCCUUGUAAAGUGAGUUUACUUAUAAUCACAUACAUAAAUAAUUUUUAUUUGUAAUGGAUUCUGUCUUCUGAGCACUCAGUUCAGUCUCUAAAAUCCCUCAGGAUAGAUGGCUUACCUUAGAUGGGGCAUUUACUUAGGCCCAGAGUGGUGGUUUCCAGGGAGCAGUGACACUUGCUUGUGGCAUUCUAAAGAAAUUGUCCUAAAGAUAUUUAACUUUAUCUUAGUAUUGUGUACUAUUGUCUUACUCUGGGCUGCUUUGCAAAAAUACCAUACACUAGAUAACUUAUAAAAACAGAGAUUCAUUUUUCACUGUUCCAGAGGCUGAAAAAUAGUAAGGCUUGCUUUCUGGUUCAUACACACUUUCCUGUGUUUGUACAUGAUGAAAGGGGUAAACUAGCUCCCUUGGGUGUAUUAUUUCUUUUUAAAUAUAUUUUAUUUAUUUGAGAAAGAGCAAGUGAGAGAGAGAGAGAAAGAGUGAGCGAGUGAGAGCGAGCGCUGUCCUCCAUCUAAUGGCUCAUUUCCUAAAUGCCCAUAACAUUCAGGAUUUGGGUCAGUCUUGUAGCAGGAGCUGGGAAUUCAUUCCAGAUCUUCAGCAUGAGAGGCAGGAACUCAGUUACCUGAGCAUCACCUGAUUCCUUUCAGAGUCUGUAUUGGCAAGAGCUCCAAGUCUUCAGGAGCUGGAUCCAGGAAACAACGCCGGGCAUUCCAGUAUGGGACUCAGGCAUCUUAGCUUGUAGGCUGUUUGCCUGCUUCUGGGCCUAUUUGAUGAGAACCCUAAUUCAUUUAUUAUGGCUGUACUCUCACAAUCUAAUCACAUCACAAAGACCCCCCCCCCCACCUCCUAAUAUAUCAUCUUGGGGAUUAGGAUUUAAAUAUACAGAUUUUUUUGAGGGGGAAGAUGUAAACCUUCAUAACAUACAUCAGGUACAUUUGAUGUUUUUGCUGUCAUUUGUUUAUAUUACAAAAUAUUUAAAACAGUUGUCUUUUUACUGAAUAUUUAUCAUGUUUCAGGAACUAUGCUACCUUAUGUAAGUAACCCUCACAACCUCUGAGUGAGAUAGCAAUUUUUAUUCCAUUUCACAGAUAAGAAAAUUGAGGCCCCCAGAAGUUAAGCAAUAACUAAAUAAGUGUCAAAGUCAAAAUUCUCACCAGAUCUGCUAAGAUUUGCAGAUCUUUGUUCUUCAGCCCCUUUGGUUGCAUGGAUAUAUCACAGCUUAUGCUAAUCUACGCACUUUGAACCAAGCAAUAAGUUCCCAAACACAGUCAUCUGCAGAGGAACACUUAGGGAUAGGUGCUUGAGACAAUAAAGGAGGAAGUUAACAAUUAGCAUGAGUAGAAGAUAUUUUUGCUAGGAUUCAAAUUGAUUUCAGGGGAAGUUGCAAGUAAAAACUACAUUGCAAACUUUUCUAGAAAAACUGUAAAAUGAUCAAAGAGGAAAGCUUUCUUCAAUAUAGUAUUUAGUGUUGAUCUUAAAUUUCUACAGAUGUGAACAUAAGUUUAAUGAUAGAAUUGUACUACUUAUACCAAGUUUUUCUAUUUUGAAAAAAAUAUUUUUAUAGUUCUAUAACAUUUGGAUUUAGAAACUGGCACUAUUUCAUUUUUGUCCAGCACAUUUAAUUGAAAUUUAAGUGGUUUCAAAAACUGGUAAAUCUUUACUCUCUUAACUUGUUUCAAACGUUCAUUCAGUCAGGUAAUGUUUGAAUACCUGCUAUGGGUCAGACACUAAGAGAGGUGUUAGGGAGUUAAAGAAGACUUAGACCAAGGAGAGGCGGUCUGGUUUACUGUUAAGGGCUAUGGAAGCAUUAAUUUCAAAAAGAGUUAUUUUGGAGAGAGAGAUGUGAAGGAACCAGAAAUUCCUACAUAUAGUAGUGACACUUGAACUAGGUCUUGCACGAUGUAUUGUGAUGUGAUCAUGACACAGUUGAAUGCUUUUUGGCCGGGGUGCAUGAUUACAUUUGUGGGAAACAGCACUAUCAGAGAUGAAUUAGGAAAAUACACUGACUGUUGUGAUAAGUGGUAGGUGUUAUAACAAAACUUAGGACUUGGUGGUAGAAGAAUUGUUUAUAUUUAAGUCUUGAGAAGAAGGCAGAGACUAAGUUACUGAAUUUCUUGAGUGUCUUGAUAAGAAAUAAGGAAUUUUCUAGGUAAUGAGGAUCAUAGAAUGCAAUUUCAGCAAACGCAAAAUGUGACCGGUUUUUUUUAUUUGAGAAAUUAAGAAAAUACAGAAUGCUAAAAAGAAUAAUAACAUACCUAGAAACUGGCAAUUAACAUUUUAUUGAGUUGCUGAUGCUGCUUGAAGCAAAUCAGCUUUAAUCAACUUUAAGUUCUUAUAGUCUUGCAUUCCUAACAUCAUCCCAUUGUCUCCUUCCUGAGAUGACUGUAAUGAUGCUUUAAAAAAUACUUUAUCAGGAGUGGGCAUUUGGCUUAGUUAAGCCACUCUUGUCUCUUAAGGGAUGAUACUGGCUCUGCUCCUGAGUCCAUCAUUGUGCCAAUACAGACCCUGAAAGGUAGUGGUGAUCAGUUAUGGGAUUGCAUUCCUUCCAGCUCUGUGAGAGACUAGCUUAAGUUCCCAACUCUGUCUUUGGCCCUGGCCUGGCCAUGAGUGUUGUGCACAUUUGGAGAGAAAACCAGUGAAUGAGCACUUUGUCUCUCAAAUAGAUUAAUUUUAAAAAAUAACAUGCAUGUGGAUAACCAUGAACAACACAAAAGUAUUGCUGUGUUUGUAGUCACAUAUAAUUUAUAUGUGUUGUCAUAUGGUUAAAUAUUGGUCUCACAAAGUAUGUAACAAUUUAUAAUUUGCAUUUUACUUUUGUUUUUGAGAUCAAGCUAUAGUCAAUACGUAGAUUCUUUUUAAAUAUUAGUAUUCUAUUCUAUAUAUGUAUCUCCUUUUUAUGCAUUCCCUACUGAAAGACACUUAUAUUGCUUUCCGUGUUUCACUGUCAAAGGCAGAUAUAAAAUCCUUAUUCAAGUCUCCUGUACUUGUCUGUGAGUUUCUCUAGGGUAUCAUAAGGUAUGUACAAAUGUUUACCAGAUCAUACCAAAUUGCUCUCCAUUAGUAACUGAAAUAAUUUUAUAGGUAUAUCUCACUGUUGGGUUAUUAAAUCUUUUUUAAAAAGUCUUUCUGUUUAAUUAGCAUGUAAUAAUUGUGCAUAUUUAUGAGGUAUGGGGUGAUAUUUCAGUACAUGUGUACAAUGUGUAUUGACCAAAUCAGGGUAAUUUGCAUUUCUCUCAUUAUUUCUUUGUGUUUUGAGCCUUUGCCCUCCCUUCAAAGUGUAUAUAAAAUAUAUAAUGGGUUGUUGUGAUGUGUAGUCACUCCACUGUGCUGCGGAAUACUAGAACUUAUUCCACCUAUCUGUGUUUUGGUAUCUGCUGUGCAACUUCCCUUUAGACCCUCCACUGCCCCCUUUCCUACUUUCUAUAUACCCUUACCCCGACCUGUUCUACUUCAGGGUUGGAAUAUCAGUUCUUCUGAGGCUAGGGAGUGUGUGUAUCUUGUGUGUAUAUAGUUACCACCCCUAGUGGUGGCAUGAAAUGGACAUUUGUAAAUGUUGAUUUUGUGACAAAUGGUUACUACAGAAUUGAAUAUGCUUUUAAAAAUUUGUUUAAGGCCGGCGCCACAGCUCACUAGGCUAAUCCUCCGCCUUACGGCGCCGACAUACCGGGUUCUAGUUCCGGUCGGGGCUCCGGAUUCUGUCCCGGUUGCCUCUCUUCCAGGCCAGCUCUCUGCUGUGGCCAGGGAGUGCAGUGGAGGAUGGUCCAAGUGCUUGGGCCCUGCACCCCAUGGGAGACCAGGAGAAGUACCUGGCUCCUGCCAUUGGAUCGGCGUGGUGCACCGGUUGCAGCGCACCGGCCGUGGCAGCCAUUGGAGGGUGAACCAACGGCAAAGGAAGACCUUUCUCUCUGUCUCUCUCUCUCACUGUCCACUCUGCCUGUCAAAAAAAUAAAUAAAAAAAAGAGAAAAAUCUCUAAAAAAAAAUUUGUUUAAUUGAUCCUUGUUAAAAAUAAGAGUGGGAAUAAGAGAGGGAGGAGAUGUACAGUUCGGCACAUGUUCCCUUGAACUUAACCCUAAGGGUAAAGCUAAAAAUUUGCCGUGGAACUCCAAAUCCCAUUAAAUUGGCAGGUACCGAUGACAUCUUACUAGUUAAAGUGAUCAGUUUAAGUGCAUAACUGAUCAUAAAGAUAGGAAUAAGUGUCAAAGAGUUCACAUAAAAAAGACCAAGUGUCUGCUAAUAAUAAUAGAUAGAAUUAAAAAGGGGAGAAGGAUCCAACAUGGGAAGCAGGCCACAUAGCAGACUCAUAGAAUGACAAAUUCCCUAAACAGCACUCUGGCCUCAGAAUCAGCCCUUAAGGCUCGGACCUGGCUAAAAAGCCCAAGAGAACAUUUCAGGCAUGGAAAGCCAAGACACUGUGGCAAAAAAUGGCCUAAAUGAAAGAUCUAUGUGAGUGAGAUCCCAGUGGAAAGAACGGGCCAUCAAAGAAGGAGGUACCCUUCUCUGAAGGGAGGAAUUUCCUCUUUGAUUAUGACCCAGUCUAAAUAGUGUCAGAGUUUGUGGACUCAAGAGGCUUCAAUAGCCUUGGCAGCUCAUGACAAGAGCCUCAGGUGAUCACUGACGUCAUAAAUAAAGAGUGUCAAUUGUUAAAUCAACAAUUUAAAGGAGUCACUGUACAUUUACUCUCCAUGUAUGUAAGGCCUCUGUCCUUAAUGAGUUCUAUUAUGAGAAUUAAUGUUAAACUUGUCUUCAAAUAGUACUUUAUACUUUGUGUGUCUGUGUGGGUGCAAACUGUUGAAAUCUUUACUUAGUAUAUACUAAGCUGAUCUUCUGUAUAUAAAGAUAAUUAAAAAUGAAUCUUAAGAAUGGGAUGGGAGAGGUUGUAGGAGGUGGGAUGGUUUCGGGGUGGGAGGUCAGGUAUGGGGGGAAAACUGCUAUAAUACGAAAGUUGUACCUAUGAAAUUUAUAUUUAUUAAAUAAAAGCUUUCUAUAAAAUUUUUGUGAAGAUUUAUUUUAUUUAUUUGAAAGACAGAGUUACAGAGAGAGGUAGAGACAGAGAGAGAGGUCUUCCAUCCGUUGGUUCACUCACCAGAUGGCUGCAAUGGCCGGAGCUGUGCUGAUCUGAAGCCAGGAGCCAGGAACUUCUUCCGGGUCACCCACAUGGGUACAGGGGCCCAAGGACUUGGGCCAUCUUCUACUGCUUUUCCAGGCCACAGCAGAGAGCUGGAUCGUUAAAGGAGCAGCCAGGACUAGAACUGGCACCCGUACGGGAUACUGGCGCUUCAGGCCAGGGCAUUAACCCACUGCACCACAGCGCCGGCCCAAAUAUUUAUUUCUUUAAAUAUAUUGGAGUCAUACUUUCAAAAGAAGAUACAGUGGCUGGUGUUUGGUGUAGCAUUUGACACUGCUUGUGAUACCCACAUCCCGUAUCAGAGACCUAUGUUCAAGUUACUGCUCCACUUCCUGCUAAUGCACAUCUUAACAGGCAGCAGAUGAUGGCUUGGGUACAUGGGUACCUGCCACCCCCGUGGGAGACAUAGAUGGAGUUCUAAGCUGCUAGUUUUGUCCUGGCUCAGUCCUGGCUGUUGUGGGCAUUUUGAGAGUGAACUGGUUUAUGAAAAGUGUUUCUCAAUCUCUGUUUCUCUCUCUCUCUCUUUCAAAUAAAUAAAUUAUUUUUAAAAAGAAGAGGAAUUUGAAUACAUAGAUAAAAGCUUAAAAUAGUUUAAGGAAGCAGUCUCUUUCUGAUUUUUUUAAGCAAGUAAAUUUCUUUGAUCUAGUUACCAUAUUAAUGUCAUUUUUUUUGUGUGUGUGUAUCAGCUUGAUCCAGAUAAAGUAAUUAAUGUGCUCAAGGAAUAGUUUUGGGACAAAAACUGGAAUAUAAUUUGUUCAAGUCAGAAUUCUGUUGACUUAUGUAUUAUUGUUAAUGAAGUUGGUUUUAUUUUUUUGAAGUGGUAUUUGAAAGAGCUAUUUUAAUUAAAAACAAAUUAUUUGACAAGAUCAUUCAAUCUGAGAGAGAAAUACAUUUUUACUCAUUAUACAUUCUUUUUCUGAAUCUUACUCUGUUAUUCUCUUUUUAAUCUAUUGGUGUAUUUCCUUUUGGCUGCCUUUUUAAUCUAAAAUAUAUUUUGAUAGGAAGAUAAGCAGAUUGUAAUCUGUCAUUGAAAGGCAUAGAAUAUGGUAAAGAAUGAGUGUGUGUGGGUGUGUAUUUUUUUCUUUCCCUGUGUGGCAAUGUCAUAAAGAAGUCAGGCAGUGCCUUAGACAGUAUCCAAAUAACUUCUAUUUUUAAUGCUUUAAUUUUUUUACUCUACAGAUUUACCUUCUUAAUUAUAUUCAUUUUAGAAUUCAAAAUUAGUUCACAAACUCCAGGAAACCAUCAACUGAUAAUAGGAAAUACACAAAAUGUAAACAAGAUCUCAGGAGGAAGCUAACCUAGUAUUAAAAGCUCUUAGCAAUAUACUCCAAUGUAGAUAAUGAAGAAUUUGUAUAUGGCUAAAAAUAAUACUCCAAAUAAUAUUUAAAUUUUAUUUAUUUUUCUUUUUUUUUUCUGGACCAAAUUCUAGAUUUGUUAUUUUGAGUUUAAAAUUUAGUUAGUUAUUCCUAGUGUUAUAAUUCUUUAGCCGGUGUUUCCCUUACCCCUUAUUUAUAUUCUGCAAUUUAAGUACAUUUUAAAAAAAUAUGUGAUUUUUAUUUCUUGUCUCUAAGAAUUGCAUUUUUAAAACUCAGGAUGAUUUGGAGCAAAUUAAAAUAUCUUUCAGAUAUAAAUGUGAAAGUGCUGUCUUGAACUUUAACUCCCAGUGUUGACAACAGAUAGUGGAUUGAGAUAGAGUCAAGUCAUUAGGCUUUAGCAAAUGGAAAGUUUAUAAGGUUAGAUGGUGGUGGGAUGCAGGAAGUAUAUUAAGCCUGUCAUUUAUGAGUACGUGUUCCUCAGCUACCUUUUUAUCCUGUCAGUCAACAAGUGAGAUGUAUUGUUUGAGUCUCGGGAGUUUGGGCUUAUGCUUUUAUUUAUCCACAGUAAUGAGGUGGUAAGGUUUUAGGUUAUAUAAGACUUAAUCCCAUUUGUUUUAGUGAUGAGGCAUAAGGGAAGGAAAAUUAGCUUAUCUUCCAUUUAUAAAAAAAGAUUUGUCUUUCUGACUAUAGUUUAUAACUACGGUUAUACCUAGCUCUCAAGUCCUAGGAUGCACCUUUUCCAUCAUUUUGUUGUCAUGAUAAAAAAGAUACAGUUUUGUGAAAGUCCUGUGCCACUUGGGCUUUCACCAGGCGAUCCUCUCUUCAGGCAAAAGUUGUACAGUUUAUGUUCCUAUCUACACCUGUGUGGUAAGGACCGUUCCUGUUAGUGCUGCAGCUUUUCCUUACUCAUAUUGUGUAGGGUGUCUUACUUUGCUAUAUUUCUUGAAAUUCUUUUUAAAGGUCUAAAUGGGAGGUUGGCUGAUGAGCAGUAGAAAGAUGAAUAGUCAUGAAAGUGUUUGGGUGAAUUCUUUUUCUUUGACUGUCUUCUGGAUUUUAGUGGCUGAGAAGUUUAAAAACCAGAUGUUUACUUUUUUCCUAACCUCCUUUCUGUGGCAUGUUAUUUUGUGUGGCCCACAUCUAGAUUACAGUAAUAAUAAGCAUUUUUCUUUGGUGACUGCCUUCCUUCAUUGUUUUGUUUUCUAAAGUAGAAGUGAUCAUGUUAUAUCAGCACAGUUUGGGGACAGAAAGAUUGUAGUGUCUACUAUCAUAUUUUUAUUGGCUAUUUUUAUCUGAACAGAGAAUCUAGGUAUUUAUCAUUCAUUUUAUAAGAUAUAUAAAUGAAUCUUUUGAAAAUCUGUAAUCCAAAAAAGGCAAUUGUAUAUCAGAGUCCUUAAAAUUGAGCCAUAUUUGAAUGAUUAUUUUUAUCUUUUAUUUUGCUUUUAUUUUAUUUUGCUUUUAUUUAUUUUGCUUCUUGUAAAAAGGAAGGUAUGUAUUUAUAUUCUUUACAGUUUAAAUGUCUGUGUGAAUGCCUAAAGAUUAUAAACUUAUGUGCAUCAUGUUCUGUUAGCUUUUCUGCUAGUAGAAUUAGGUUAUGCUGUGAUUUAUAGAUUCUCUGAAUGGGAAUAAAAAUAUAAUUACAUACCUUUUUUUUGCUAGGUUAAUAUUUCCUUUGAAGAUUUUGAAAAGAAUAUGUGAAAUAUCAAACUAUAAAAUUAAGUUUUUGAAGGGUACAAGUUUAUGCAUAUAUACACAAACUAACAUAUUCAUAAGCCGGUUUUUCUUCAUAUGUAAUUGUAGGCAAUUCUAUUCUGUAAUCAAGUAUGUGUCCUGUAAAUUAUUUUAAGCUUCCUAGGAAAGAACUUAAUGGAAAAGUGUAUGAAAGGCAAAACUUCCUUAUGUAUUCCACUUAAUUGAUUCAUAAUCUAAGGCAUUUCCAGAGGUUGACUUUUAUUUAUUAUGUGCACAACCCAGGAGUGCUCUUGCUGAAAUACAAAUUCAUCAUUUCAGAAAUCUGGAGUGGCUCACAUCAAAGAUUUCCCUAGUUAUUAGUCUCCAUCUCAUUAGUUUCUCUAUUUGUCCAUUCAGUUAUCUUCAUUUCUUCUUUUCAUCUGGCUUUCUUCCAGUAUGUGUUCAUUAUCUUUAAGCUCAGAUCCAUGUUAUUUUUUCUCUAACAUUUGAGAAUUCCACAAUAUUUAUUACUUUCUCAUAAUUUCAGCCUCCUGUAUUUAAUUAUGUCUUACUAAUUUGUUGAUAAUUUGAGGGUUUGUGUUUAGUCAUGUCUCUCAGUGUAACUCCUUACAAAUAUGGGUAGGAUUAUCUUUUAUUAAAACCUAUAUACAGUAACUGAGUAUAUAUUUUUCAUGUUUUGAUAAAUGAAUAAUUGUUAGGACUUCUUAAUGAAAUUUUUCUAUAUAAAAUUGUAAAUUUUCUGAAAAGGACUAUCAGUGAAAGUGAAUAGUAUAUACUAAAAUCCUUUGGUCUAUUGGGAAAAAAUUCUUUUUGAAACCAGGAAAAAAGUUUCUUUAAAAUCACAUUCUAAAAAUAAUACAGCAGUAACUUACAUAAAUGUUAUUUAUACUUCAGUAUAUAUGUGAAAUUAUAGCUUUUAGGACAUAAGAUUCAAUUUUGAUUAACAAUUGAAUUGGUAAAAUAUUUGUUUCAUUCUGUAAGUCAAGAGAUUCUUCAUUGGUGUUGAUACCAAAAUAAUGGCAAAAAUAAUUUGAGGAAGUAAAAUCCCAUAAUAUUCUGUUCAAGAAUUAAGUAGUUUUUUAGGUAAUGAUUUCUUAAAAGUAUUUAAACUAAUUACUUUAAAUUAAAACUUUAUUAUUGCAAAAUACCUAUUGCAUUUUUUCAUUUUUGGUUUACAGCCUAUUGAAAAUAUUUGGUAUGUUUCAACAUUUCCACUAAUGUAUUUCCAGCCAGGUUUUGGACAAAAAUGUCUUAAGAUUUCUAAGAAACAUAGUUUAUUCUUUUAUUAUAUUUUAAUUAUUGCAAAGGUAAAAGUUACCUUGUUCAAUUUGUUUUAAAAAGUUUGACUUUAUUCAAUUACAAAUAGAUAAAUUAAAUAUGAUAUUUAAUAUGUAUCUUGAUUGCCUGGUACCAACAAAGUACACCAAACAUACGUGGCAUUAAAUUUAUUUCAGAACAUUGCAUUACUCGAGAGUAGUAUGUUUUACUGGAGUUACACUGACAAGUGAUUUUUAAGAAUAGCGCAAUAAAAUUUUUGGUUUAUAAUUUCAUAAGUUCUUUCCAUUUAUUUUAUUAUCUUUUUUCUCUAGUACUCAUUAUGUUCUAACAGUUUUAUAGAUAUCUUGAUAGAAUGAUUAUUCAUUUUUUGGAGGAUUGACAUUUGGAAAGUGAGAGAAUAUAUUGGACAAGUGUUGGAUUAUUUGUCAUUGGAUUGCAUUGCAUAUUUUUCAUCUACAAGUGGUAUCUUUUACUAGUAUACCCAUGUGGCUUUCUUCAGUAAAGUUAGCCCACGUAUAUCAAUGUUAAAUUCUAUUUAAAACAAUAUUUUAAAAUAUACUUUAUAUUACUAUGGUUUUUGAUUACAAAAGAAGAGCUUUGUUAAAAAAAGAUAUAAUUACGCUUUCUAAUCAGUAUAAGAACAGAUCGUUUUUCACAUUUCUCUCCUAUUGUGAGUAAUGAUUUUUGGUCUAGUGAAGUUCAUUAGUGUAGAGUCACAGAUAAUUCUUGAGACAUGGGUACCUUCCUCCUUUAUACAUUUCUUCAGCUGUUGUAGAAAUGAACUUCCUCCAGUUACUGGAAUAGACUUGUAAUCACCUUAAUGCUUAUACUCUACUUCUGAGCUUCUGUAAUCUUCAAUAUUAAGUAUUUGUUUAUAUGUACUUUAUUACUACACUUACAUUAAAUUUGCACAUAAUUUUUGCUGAUCAUUUAUUUCCUUCUAAUGGCGCUCCUUUAAAAAAAUUAAGAGUCCUGCUACUUAAAAAGCAAUAAAAUAGUGUCUUAACCUUGAAAGUGAACUCAGGCCUCUAAACCUGCUUCCUUCAAAUCCCUUUAUUGCGUGCAUGAUAAUGUGUCAUCUACAUGUGUGUGUAUAUUGUAUGGAGGUAGUAUUAUUUUCAAGAACUCAUAAAAUAUUUAAAUAGUAUUUGAAAAAUUAUGAGUAAAAUGAUAUCACAGUGAUUUUUGAGUAGAUUUUUCUAAUUGGUGGCAUUUAAAAAUGACUUAUUAAUGCCUUUUAAAAAGGUUUCAUAUACUCACUGAAUUAUUUGAACAGUAAUCAGUAGCAUUUAUUUUCAGUACUAACUUAUUCUCACACCAGAUUUGUGUGGGAAUCUGUAGUUUAACAAUUGAAAUGAUUACCUCUUGUGAAUAUGUGAAUUGUUUUAAAGAACUGUCUCAGUUUUAUCCGAUGAAUGGAAAUAUCCACUAAGCAAUAAAACUUUUCGUAAAACUUCUCUAGUUUCCUUUACUAUUAACAUGCUGUUUGACAGCUGGCCUUUACUAAUCACACUGGGUUUGAAACUUUUUCCUUAAAGCUUUGUAGUUGAAUUAUAAUACGUUGCAUCCUUUGUUUUCUCAUGGAAAAGGAUUUAAACAAACUUUCUAUUGCACUUGUUGAAUAUGUAUUUCAUAGUAACCACCAUGAAGUUUGCAGCAUUUAAGAAGAUGAAGAAGCAAAGAUAAAAGAUACACAUUCAAGAAGGCUUGGUUUCACAGUUGGCGCAUAAUCCUUCUGCUGUCAUUGGUACCCUAACCCUGUACCUACCAGAACAAAAGAAACUGAAUUGAAAAUUGUGGGAGCUGGGGAACAUUCAGUUGGCAGCACAUCGCAUGGCCCAUAGGCGGUGUCAGGUCUCAGUUUGAUGUCCUUUAUUCUUUCUGACAGAUGUGAGGUAAGGUCUAUGAAGGGGAAGUCAUUACUAGAGAGAGGGCAGUGUCAGAUCAAAAGUAACCAGUGAUCAAACAAGGUAAAGGGCUGUGGAAAAUAGGCUCUCUUUCUGGCCUCAACACCUGCCUGAUCACUGAAGGGAAUAGUCCUGAUGUGUCAGGGCAAGUUGAUUUUCUUUGAUGUACAGUGAAUUAGAAGUCAGAAUGGAAGCUUAACUGGAGUACAGAAGAUAUUUACUUACUAGUUCUUGGGCAAUUUGAGUGUUUAAAUUUUUUACUUUAAUAAACUAGAAGUUUUAGAAGUCACUUUAUUGAAUAAAAUAUUAAAAUGUGCCUAUAUUUACUUUGUUAUUACUACAUAUUUAUAGCUAAUACUAGUAAGAACAUUUCAACACAGUAUGGGAUAGGCUCUAGAAGUCAACAGAGUCUUCACUUAUCAAGCAUCUAAUUAUAACUUUAGAUCAUUUAUGUAAUUGUAAAAGCACUGAGCUUUGCACAUAAUAGGUGGCCUUGUAGCAAAAUUUCAGAAGUUUCCUUGCUAUGUACUUCUGAAUACAUUUGAAUUAACUCUUUGCACUUAAGUAUGUUAUAUUUUCUUUGAAGGCAACCCUUUCUAAUAAAGUCAGUUCAAAGAAAAUUUAAGGAGACAAUCUCAUUGGAUUUUACAUAAGUGGUGUUUUCUCUAGCUCUUUUAUAUUUAGAGGUAUGUGACUAGAAGUCUGGAAGAAUCAUAUUUUUAUCUUUCAUUAGCUUGUUGUGUGGGUAAUUUACAAAGUAUAUUCUAAAAAUUUCAGUUAUGUUGUUUUCCUUCACAAUAAGAGCAAAUAUUUGACCUCUGCUAUGUGUGAGUUUCGUUUGUUGAUGUUUCCAAUACUAAUGCAUUUUAUCUAGACUCAAAAGUAGUUAAUAGUCAUUUUGUUUCAGAUCAUAAAAGUAAGGAUUUAUUUGAAAUUACUUAUUUUAUUUUCAAUCAGAAGAAUAAAGAAUCUUAGUGCCUGAGCCUUUUAAAAUGAAUCUAAAUUUAGUAAUUUGUCUGUCUGUUCAUUUUUAUGUGAUGUCCCAUGUUUGUUUGUGAUAAUUUUAGGUAAUUGAAAUCCUCUUCCUUUAAAAUUCAGAAAUAAAAACAUAAAAACAUAUUAUAUUCACAUUUAGUGUUUGACUUGCAGACUGUUAAUUGUAAAUAUACUUUAUGCUUGGCAAAUUUCAGAAUUAGAUUGUGAACAUACUUAUCAAUACUCAUAUAGUUUGACUUUUAAGCUAAAUUUGCUUAGAACUUAUUAUUAAAUAUGUUUUGCUUAGUCACCCAUUUUAAAGUAGUUUGACUUAGAAGUACUUUUUGGCAUUGAGUUAUGUAUAUUAUUUUUAUCUUGUUUAUUUCAUCCAGAAUAAAAUAUCUUGUAAACUAAAGUUCUACACAUAUUUUUGAAGCUUUUUGAAGCUGAAGAAAUUUUAAUGUAGAUUAAUUGUAUAAUCUAUUAGUUUACACUGAUUUUUGUUCUUGAUUGUUUCUGUAACAUUUUUUCCUGAACUGUGAAAGGAAGACUGUAAAUUGAUGUCAAUAUGGUAAUUUUACUGAUUCAUGAAGAAUGAUUUAGAGUUUCAUUUUCUGAUAUUCCGUUCAUUCUGAGUGUGUGUGAAAGAUUAGAGUUUGCAGAUACUUUAAUAUUAACAUUAGAAAGGAAUAUUUAUGAAAGAAAUUUCUGUAAGUAAAAAUUUUUAAAAUGAACCAUAGCAACAUAGAAUUUUACUAGUCAAAAUCAUUGGUUCAUAGCAUACUGUCAUCAUUAAUCUAGACAUGAUUUAUGUUGUGCAAGUUAAUUUAUCUAAAAGUUAUUUAACAUUUACUCAGGAACCUCUAUGUUCAUUAUAAACUAAAAGACUACCAAUAACUUUAUCUACCCCUGCAUUCCUCUCUCGUUUCAUCUCUGGAUCCCUCCAGAGGUAAUCAGAAAUAACCAGCAGCAACCACUGUCCUGAUUUUUAUGUUUUGAAAUCCUUUCCUGUUUUGUUACUUAUGUAUAUUUGCACAUGCAAUAAAUUGUUUAGUUUUUUACUCAUUUUCAAUCAAAUUUCUAAAUAAUCAUUGAUGAAUUGAGAAAACUGCUUUAACAGAUAGUUUAAUAUAUUAUUUAAAAGGGAUAUAAUGUAACAAAUUAAUCUAAGGGAAGUAUGUUUCUGAAUUUAAACUUGAUACAGUCCAUAUCUAAUUUUAAGAUAUUCUGUGCUAUAGUUCUGCAUUGUUUCAGAUUUUAAGAUGCAUAUAAGGUAUCUGUAUGUUGGUUUCUUGCAUUUUGUAUCUUCCAUUUAUAAAUUUUACUCAUAUCUAUGCAAAUAUCAGUUUAGUAUGGAGGUAAGUGAAUGUUGUGCUUAUCAGAUGACUUCUAUAUUUUAUUUACUAGGCUAUAAGGUCAUCAAUAAUUUAUUACAUCUAACUAGUCAUGUUUCAUAAGGAUAAAAUAAAUGUAGUAAACUUAUUUGAAAUGGAAAUAAUAGUCAAUAAUAGCGUUUCUGAGAGGAAAAAAGAAAAAAUGUGGAAUAUUUAUGUUGAUAAGAAAACUUUUCCUGAUUUCAGAACUAUCAAUCUGCAGAAAAAUAGGUUCCCUCACCCCAGUUUAGUUAAUUAAUUACUGGCUCUGUAUUGGUCUAAUACAGAGUUUUGGUGAAAUGCGCUGUGCAGGAUAAAAAUAUUUGUGAUGAGGACACAUCAGGUAUAUUAUAUUAUUUAUGUGAUCACAUAAUAUUGUAUGACAUCAUGGCCAUCGUAGUUUGUGUAAAUACUCUAUGAUGUUGGCACAACUACGAAAUCUCCUAAUGUAGACAUCAUAGAUUGCAUUUAUACAAACUUGAUGUGGUCACAUGGUGUGACUUCUUGAUGGAGUCAAGUGACAUGGCAAGCAUGAAAUGUGUAAGAUUGAUGCUGGCAUAACAGUGGUACUAUUUCAUAGUUAGCUUUUUUCUUCAUAAGUGGGAGUAUAAUUUAAAGUAAUGAUAAAAGUAUAGUAAAUACACAAGCCAGUUACAUAGCCUUUAUUAUUAUUAAGUAUGAUGUCCGAUACAUAAUUGUAUGUGGUAUACUUUUCUGCCAUGAAUGUCCACUGUCCACAAACACAUGAGUAGUGAGUGUGUUUUUGCUGUGACACAAUGGCUAGGACAGUUGGCAUAAAGUGUUUCGAGUUGUAGUUGAAAAACUUGAUUGCAUUGAAAUUCUGUAUUCUUUAAUGUGAGCGGUGUCUAAAUAAGCAAAAUAGCACUCCCUUGCAUGAUUUUUAAAAGUUUCAAAGAGUUUUCUCAGUGUAGACCAAUCAUUUGGACAAUUUAAUGGGAAAAACAUUAUCACAUGGUCUAGAGCAAUGAUUGAGUUAUGAUGUCUGGGAGAAUAGAAAAAUAAGUGAAACAUAAAUUAAGAGAGUGAUGUGACACUAUAUUUUAAAAAUCUGUAUUAAAAGCUUGAAAAGUGAUAUAAUCUUGGAAAAUAUAUUCUCUUUGGCUACUUUAUAGUUUCUAGCUACAUGAGUCAGCAUUUUUUUCUAAGUCCAGUCUCCUACCAUUCACUUGUUCAUUCCUUAAGCAUUUAUUGAGUUCUAACCAAAUAUGUAUCACUGUGAUUCCUAAUCUCCUUUUUCCAUCAGUGUCAUGCCAGUUCACUUUAUAGUAACUCUUAACUAACAGGAGUAAUUUCUUUCUAUCUUGUAUCUUCCUGAGUGCCUGCUGGGGAAGAUAGUAAUAUCUCUCUGUCAAGACCAUUGCUCUAGACCAUGAACUCUCUUAUCCUGUCAUGUAUUAGAUACUAUGUAUUGCGAGUAAGAUUUUGAAAUUGUGACAUUUACAUAAUACUUAAUUUAUUAAUAAUGAUAACCUCUAAGUUACUUUGCCUUAGUUACCUAAUUAAUGUGAAAUAUUUUGAAGAUUAAAAUUGAAGAAACCACUUAAUAGUAUAAAAUGUGACAUAAAACUUACAGUGACUUGUUACGAUUUUUUUUGAUAGAGAUGCUCAGCUGUUAAAGACUGUUUGAACUGCAGUAGUACUUGGGUCUUGCUUUGGUAGCAGUACUUGAAGAAUUAAACAUUAUGAAUUGAGUUUUGGGAUUAUUCCUUUGAGUUGUUUUGUUAUUAAAAUAUUGUUAAGGACAUUGUCCAGUAUACCCUACAGAGUCUUCACUUAUGGGAACCCUCACUUAAAUAUUCUGUCCCAUCUCAUUAAUUGGAAAAGCUAGACUUCUGAUCAGUUGUUUCCCUUUAUUAUGUUAAUACUGUACAUUUUAUAAAAGAUAUAUAGAGGUACUUUUUCCUCUGUGACAUUUUUGAAAAUAAGAAACAGUAAUCCAUUUAGGGCAGAAUUCAGGAAUUCCCGUUUUUGUUAAAGGAUAGCAGUUUUUAAAAACUAAUUUUCCUUUUACCUUAAAUUUAUUUCAACUAAUUUUUUUCCUAUGGAGUAUAUAUUCAAAAGGAACUGCUUCCUUUUUGGAAAGAGACUAGAUGUACCUACAUACAAAUGGAAAUACUUACGUUAAGUACAUACCUAAAUACAAAUACAAGUAUUUACAUAGACACAUUUAAAUUUAAAAGCCUUCUUUUUAAAAACUUUAUUGAUUUUUAUUUAUUUGUAAAAUGCAGAAACACACAGAGCUUACCCAUCCACUGGUUCACUCCCUAAAUGUCUGUAACAGUGAGGGCUAGAAUAGAAUCCUUAAUAGAACAGAUAAGUAAAAAAUGAAAAUGAAAGCCUUCUGCUAAUCUCUCUGGUGAUUAUUUUUAAAAAAGUUUUAAAAUAUAAACAUGCUUCUCUCAGUAACUCUUUUAAAAAUUAUACUACAUAAUUUCUUCCACAGCACUUGAUUAUUGAUAUAUAAAUAUAUGUAUAUGUACAUAUAUAUAUAUGUACAUGCACACAUACUUUGGCUCUUUUCUUUUCCAAUAAUAGCCAUAAAUUUUAAUGGAUUUCUGUCACAUGUUCAUUUGUACCCUUUUAAUGUUGUCUUGUUAUUUUGAAAAUACCAGAAAAGUAUAUCUUCUCUACAUACUAUCCUUAAUUUUCAUUCUUUUAAGUAAUGACUAUUUCUGUUGCUGUGAUUUUUUUUGAGAACAUUAAGUAAUUUAACCCCUUGAGGUAGAGAGAAGGGUAACUAGUUAGAUUUAAGAUGCUUUAAUAGUGUCCUUAAUUUUCAUUCUUUUAAGUAAUGACUAUUUCUAUUGCUGAGAUUUUUUUUUAAAGAUUUUUAUUUAUUUUACAGGUAGCAUUACAGUGAGUGAGAGAGAGAGAGAGGGAGAGCUAGCUAGAGAGAAAGGUCUUCCUUCCGUUGGCUCACUCCCCAAAUGGCCGCCAUGGUUGGUGCUGCGCCAAUCCGAAUCCAGGAGCCAGGUGCUUCUUCCUGGUCUCCAUGCGGGUGCAGGGGCCCCAAGCACUUGGGCCAUCCUCCACUGCCCACCCGGGCCACAGCAGAGAGCUGGACUGGAAGAGGAGCAACCAGAACUAGAACCUGCUGCCCAUAUGGGAUGCCAGCGCCACAGGCAGAGGGUUAACCAAAUGAGCCAUGGCACAGGCUCCAAGAUUUUUUUUGAGAUCAUUAAGUAAUUUAACACCAUGAGGUGGAGAGAAGGUUAACUAGUUAGAUUUAAGAUGCUUUAAUACUAUCCUUAAUUUUCUUUCUUUUAAGUAAUGACUUCCUGUUGCUGUGAUUUUUUUUUGAGAUCAUUAAGUAAUUUAACACCUUGAGGUAGAGAGAAGAAUAACUAGUUAGAUUUAAGAUGCUUUAAAAAUGACAGAAACUAGGGUUGGGCAUUUGGCCUAGCAGUUAAGACCAUGCUUGGGGGUGGGGGUGGGGGGUAGUGCUGUGACAUAGAAAGUUAAGCCUCCCUGUGCAGUGACAAUGCACUGCUCUGCUUCCGGUCAGUCUCCCUGCUAUUGUGCCUGGGAAGGCAGUGGAAGAUGGCACAGGACCUUGGGCCUCUGCAUAUGGAAGACCUAGAAGAAGUUCCUGGCAUCUGGCUUUGACCUGAUCCAGCCCCAUACAUUUGAGGAGUGAACCAGUGGAUGGAUUAUCUCUUCCUCUCAUUUUCUUUCUCUCUCUGUAUUUCUGACUUCAAAUAAAUGAAAAAAAAAAAAAAAAGAUCAUGCUUGGGGUGCUUGCUUCCCAUAUCACACUGGCUGGGUUUGAGUCUCAGCUCCAACUUCUGCUAAUACAGACCCUGGGAGGCAGCAGGUGAUGACUCAAAUAAUAUUGGAUCCCUGCCAUCUCCAUGGGACACUUGGAAUUGACUUUCCAGUCCCAGCUUUGACUGCUACAGGUGUUUUGGAACUGAACCAUGACACGAGAAUGGAGCAAUUUCUGUCUCUGUCCCUCUGCCUUUCAAAUAGGAUGGAUACACACACACACACACACACACACACUCAUACAUAUGUAUGUAACAUAGACAGCCUCUAUACAAAAUUGAUCUCUGUACUCAUGUCUUUAGAGAAUAUAUUUUUCUAAUGAGAUGUAAUUGAUAUUUUUCUUUGGGGUGGACUAGAAAAAGACCCAUAAUAAUAGAUACGUCUUGUUACUUUCAUCAAGAUGUUGUAGAAAGAUAAUUUUUGUAACAGGUAUAGAUUCUAAUUCCAGUGUUAACAAUUUUUUAAAAAGAUUCAUUUAUUUAUUUACUUGAGAGGUAGAGUUACAGAGAGAGGGAGAGACAGAGAGGUCUUCUAUCUGCUGGUUCAUUACCCAAAUGGCUGCAUGGCUGGAGCUGGGCUGAUCCGAAGCCAGGAGCUUCUUCUGGGUCUCCCACAAGGGCCAUCCUCUGCUUUCCCAGACUAUAGCAGAGAGCUGGAGUGGAAGAGGAGCAGCUGGGACUAGAACCAGAGGCCAUAUAAGAUGGUGGUAUUGCAGGCAGCGGUUUUACCUGCUAAGCCACAGUGCCAGACCCCUGUGUUACUAUUUUAUAAGUUGUGAUUUCCUUCUUAAGCAGUGAGUUAAGUAUUAGAGCUUUUCUUUUUGUUUUUAAACAUUUGUUUAUUUAAUUGAGAGAGUUACAUAGGAGAGGCAGAGAGAGAGAGAUAUCCUUCCUUCUCCAGAUCACUCCCCAGAUGUCUGCAACAGCCAACGCUGGGCCAUGCUGAAGCCAGGAGCUUCAUCCCGGACUCCUACAAGGGUAUAGGUGGGGCAAGGAACUCAAAUGUUUGGGCCAUUCUCUGUUGCCUUUCCCAGGCCAUUAGCAGGGAGCUGGAUCAGAAGUGCAGUAGUUGGGACAUGAACCAGAGCCCAUGUGGAAUCAAGCAUUGCAGGUGGCAGAUUAACCUGUUACACCAUAACGCCAGUCCCAGAGUUUUAUUUUCUUAUGUAAUGUUUGUAGAUGAGGAUAUCUACUUUGGUUGUUGAAAAUAUUAAGUGGCAUCAGAAGUAUAUGUAAAUUCUUGACAUCUUGGCAACUAGCAGUUGUUCACAAAAUGCUAGCUUCCCACCUGUCUUGCUGACUUCCAAACUAUCAUUUCUGUCUCUUCAUGACCAAAGGAAACCUAGAAAUAUUGACAGAGCUUUGCUGGUAGCGAAUGCUGUGCUUACUGAAAACUUGGCAGAAGUAGAAAUAUCUAAUGGUUGGUUUAUGUGUUUGAAAGAGUGUAGUGAACUUUUCAUCUUGUGGGGAAUUUCUAGGAGUUAUUUUUAACCAGUAGUGUUUGCUUGCCCUUUCAAAACAUUGUCUAUACUUGUAAACAUCUUUUUAUGUUUUAUUCCUUGUAACUUAUUUACAAUGGUUAUUACAGUCUAUUACUUUUUCCAUUGGGUAGGUAUCAUUUUCUUUGCCAUGAAUCCUCAUACAUAGCAAUGAAACUCUUAUUAAAUGGAGACUUCUGAGCUCAUUAUGUAUGAGCUGCAUCAUAUCAUUUAUAACUCAUUGGAGAGCAACUAACAGAAAACUUGACCCCAGUUGGUUAACAAUAGAAGGUUAUUGUUGGAACCGAUAACUGGACUGUGUAGGCUCUAAGGUUCAGUUAAUUUAGUGUCUCAUUUCCACUGUGCACUUUGGAAGUGAUCCUUUUUGACUCUUGGCUAAUUUUCUGUUAGGUCAGCUUUAGUUAAGCCUGAAUUCACUUGUGGUUCAUAAGUUAUUUAUUUAUAUUUUUUGACAGGCAGAGUUAGACAGUGAGAGAGAGAGACAGAGAAAGGUCUUCCUUUUGCCGUUGGUUCACCCUCCAAUGGCCGCCGCAGCUGGCACACCGCGCUGAUCCGAUGGCAGGAGCCAGGUGCUUCUCCUGGUCUCCCAUGGGGUGCAGGGCCCAAGGACUUGGGCCAUCCUCCACUGCACUCCCUGGCCACAGCAGAGAGCUGGCCUGGAAGAGGGGCAACCGGGACAGAAUCCGGUGCCCCGACCUGGACUAGAACCCGGUGUGCCGGUGCCGCAAGGCGGAGGAUUAGCCUAGUGAGCCACGGCGCCGGCCCGGUUCAUAAGUUAUUGACAGUAGCUAGGUGCAUUUUGUGUGUGAUUUUGUCUCAUAGUUUAUUCCUUUUUAUUGUAGAGUAGUAUUCCAUUAUAAGGACAUAAAACAUUUAUUUACCUGUUAAAAGACAUUUGGGUUGUUUCCAGUUUUCAAAUAGUACAUAUAAAGAUGCUAUGAACAUUUUCGAACAAGUGUUUGAAUGGACAAAAGCUCAUUUCUCUUGAGUAAAUACAGAUGAGUGGGGUGGCUGGGUCUUAGGAUAAUUGUAUGUUCAACUUCAACUUUGUGAGAAACUGUCAGAGUUUUACAAAGUGAUUGUGCCAAUUAUCCUCCCAUGAGCAGUGUUUGAGAGCUCUGUUUGUACUUCAUACAUAGCAACAGGUAGUGGUAACUUUUUAAUUUAGCCAUUCUAAGUGGAUAUGUUUUUAUAUUAAAUUUGGUUUUGAUUCUCAGUGGUUAUACUGGUUAUCCCUACUGUCUAAAUGAUGUUGACCACAUUUUAAUGUGAGUGUUAGGUAUUACUCUCUUCUUUUAAGAUGUGUCUACACAACUUGUUUUUUUUUUUUUUUUUUUAGAAUUUAUUGCCUUCUCAUCAAGUUCUUUAUAUGUUUGUGUUGUAAUUUCUUUUGUUAUAUAUGCAUUGUAAUUGCUUUUUUCAUGCAUAGCUUUCCCUUUUGUUUUUAUGAGGUUUUUGAAGAACAGAAGGUUUGAAUUUUGAUGGGGUAUGUUUUAUCCAUGGUAGAUGCUUUUACAUUUUGUCUAAAAUCUUUUGACAGAGUUAGUUGUUUUUCUUUAUAAUUGUUGGUUUAUCGUGUUCCUCCACUUGAAAACUCAGUGGAAGUAGGAAGGUUGUCUGCUUUGUGUACUGCUGUGUCUUCCCACCUGCAAGAGUGUUGGGUACUUGGUAGUUGCUCAAAAAUGAUUUUUGGAAGAGUGGAUUUUUUUAGCAGACUAUAAAAGAUUUUUUUGGUUUCAUAGAAUAGAAAAUUAUGGCCACUGUUUAUGUCUUGCUCACAUCCAUCCUCUAUUUCAGUCAUCAUUACACUUUCUUGUUUCCUCUAGUUGAUACCAUGAAGUUCCUACUGUAAUAACACUGAUUGUUUUAUUUUAUUACCCCUUUAUAUCUGCAUUGCAUUAUCUCCUUAUUCUUUGGUCAGAUGCCACUACUUCCAGACAAGUCAGUUUAUUUUUCAAGAAAAUUAUUUUCCUACUGAAGAAGGAAAGUUCUGUUAUAUAUGUUAAGGUGGGGGACUUGCUAUGUUAAUAUUUUGCUUUCCUUUUGUUCUUCUCAUGGUUUCCACCUUCAUUUACUUUUCUCGUUUGUAGAGUACUAUACCUUUUCUUCCUGCUGAAAUAAAUCCUACUUACUUUUCAGGAUUUCCACUAAUUUAAAAUUAGAUUUUUGUUUAACUCAUCUUACAGGGAAUUUCACAGGUAUUAUGUUGUUGGCUGCUUGACUUCUUUGGUAGUUUUUAUAUAGAAGCAAUGCUUCUUAGUUGACCACUCCUUUUUUCCAUGACUGAACUUGGUUAUGGCUUCCUGUCAAUUUUUAGUUCUUAAUAAAUAUAUUUUAAUUGUGUAAAAAUGUAUAUAACAUAAAAUUUACUCUGUUAACUAGUUUUGAGUAUACCAUUCUAUAGUGGUAAAUACAGUCACAUUGUUCUAUAACCGAUCUCCCAAACCCUUCGUCUUAUGAAACUGAAAAAUUUACAUCCAUCAAAUGACAGGGCACUGUCUCAUUCCCCAAGGCUCUUCCAACAACCAGUCUACUUUCUGUCUUUAUGAAUUUGAUUCCACUAAGUACCUCAUAUAAGAGAAUCCUAUAGUAUUUGUCUUUUAGUGGCUGGUAUACUUAGCAUAGUGUCCUAAAGGUUCAUUCAUGUGUAGCAUAUGUAAAAUUUUUCUUCCUUUUUAAGGAAGGAAAUAAUAUCCUCUAUCUGUCUGUCUAUCUAUCUAUCUAUCAUCAAUCAAUCAGUGGACACUUGGGUUGCUUCCACUUUAUGGCUGUUGUGAAUCAUGCUGCUUUUAAAAACCACCUUUCAUUGAAAUUGUUGAAUCAGCUGAUAGCUGAUAAUUCUAAUUUUAAUUUUUUGGGGGAACUUCUGUUUUUUUUUGUUUUUUUUUUUUUGGACAGGCAGAGUUAGACAGUGAGAGAGAGACAGAGAGAAAGGUCUUUCUUCCAUUGGUUCACUCCUUUAAUGGCUACUAUGGCCGGCGCUGCGCUGAUCCGAAGCCAGGAGCCAGAUGCUUCCUCCUGGUCUCCCAUGCGGGUGCAGGGCUCGAGCACUUGGGCCAUCCUCCACUGCCUUCCUGGGCCACAGCAGAGAGCUGGACUGGAAGAGGAGCAACCGGGACAGAAUCCAGCACUCCAACCGGGACUAGAACCCGGGGUGCCGGCGUCACAGGUGGAGGAUUAGCCAAGUGAGCCGCAGCGCUGGCCCCAAUUUCAUUCUUUUACAUGUGGUUAUCCAGUUUUCACAUCACUCUGUAUUGAAAAGACAAUAUUUUCCACACUGAAUAGUCUUUGCAACCCUGUCAAAAAUCAUUUGAGAAAGCAUACAUUCAAGGUUUGUUUCUGUACUCUAUUUCACUGAUCUAUGAUAUGUCUGUUUUUCAUUUAAUAGGACCAGGCUUUCUAUUACUUUAGCUUUGUUAUACUUUUUUUUUUUUUGACAGGCAGAGUUAGACAGUGAGAGAGAGAGAUACAGAGACAGAGAGAGGCAGAGAGAAAGGUCUUUCUUUUUCCUUUGGUUCAUCCCCUGAGUGGCAGCCCCAGCCUGCGCCCUGCACUGAUCUGAAACCAGGAGCCAAGCGCCUCCCCCUGGUCUCCCAUGUGGGUGCAGGGCCCAAGGACCUGGGCCAUCCUCCACUGCCUUCCCGGGCCACAGCAGAGAGCUGAACUGGAAGAGGAGCAACCGGGACAGAAUCCAACUCCCCAGCCGGAACUAGAACCCGGGGUGCCAGGGCCGCAGACAGAGGAUUAGCCUAGUGAGCCGCGGUGCUGGCCAUGUAAUACAUUUUGAAAUCAAGAAUUGUGAGACCUCCAACAUUGUUCUAUUUCAAGAUUGUUCUAUUUGGAGUUUCUUGAGUCUUUGUUAAUUUUAGGAUGGAAUUUUCUUUUUAUGCCCAAUAUCUCUUUGACAUUGUAAAAGGCAUUGCAUUAAAUCUGUUUAUUAAUUUUAGUUAUAUUACCAUUUUAGUAAUAUUAGUCUUCCAAUCCAUGAACAUGGGGAUUUCUUUCCAUAUAUUUUUGUAUUCUAUAAUAUCUUUCAGCAGUAUUUUGUUGUUUUAACAUGCAAGCAUUUCACCUAAUUGGUUCAGUUUAUUGCUGAGUAUUUUACUACUUUUUAUGGUAUUGCAAAUAGAAUUAUUCUCUUAAUUGCUCAUUUUUAUUGUUGUUAGUGUUUAGAAUUUUGUGUGUUGGUUUUUAUUAUGAUGAUUCUGUAUUUUAUUUUAAUUUGAAAAAGUAAGAAGGCUGUGAAAGGACGAUAUAUAGCACUCCCCCUCAACAGUUACCAAAGUCAUACUACAAAAUAUGUAGACAAAAAGCUAAUAGAUACAUUUAAGUGGCAUAAAAGUCAUUUAAGUAAUCCACAGAAGCUAUGAAUAUUUAAAGAGAAAAAAGGUACAAACAGAAAAUAAAUAAUAAAAUAGUGAUUUUAUAGUUUGCAACUUUGCUGAAAUCAUUUGUUAAUUCUAAUAAGUUUACUUUGUGUGUGUGUGUGUGUGUUUCUAACACCUUUAGGGUUUUCUAUUUUUAAAAAAUAACUUUUAGUUUUUAAGGUAACAUGAUCUGUGAACAGAGAUAAUAUUUCUUUCCAUGUGAAUCACUUUUUCUUGCGUGAUUGCUCUGGUCAGCACUUUUAGUGUCAUAUUCACUAGAAGUGACAUAAAGAAGCACUCUGUUCUUUUCCUGAUUUUGGAGGAAGGGCUUUUAGGUUUUUCAUAUUGGACAUGCUAUCAAGUAUGGGCCUUCCUAUCAGUUUUUAAAAUUUUUUUAAAUUUAUUUUCGUUUUUAAUUUGAAAGAAACAGAGACAAGUUCAUUCCUCAAAUGUCCACAGUGUCCGCAGUAGUUGGGGGUGGCUGAAGUCUGGAUCUGGGACCUCAGUCUGGGUCUGUACAUGAGUGUAAGGGAUCCAAGUCCUUGAGUCAUCACCUGCUACUUCCUAGGGUAUGCAUUAACAGGAAGCUGGAAUAAGAAGUGGAGCCAGGACCCGUACCCAGGCACUUGAUCAGACGGUUGGGGGCGUUCUAGGUGACACCUUAAGUGGGCUUUCAGUUUUGAGCACUAUUGGUUAUGUCAGAUAUACGCAGUAUAAUUUUUCUAGCUAUAAACUGAUGAUGCUAUAUUAGCAUAUGUAAAGUUGUGGAGCUUGGGCUUUUUUCUCCAGGAUUCUUGCAUACAGAAAGGUCUCAAUAUUUUCAGUAUGAUAAUUGCUACCUCAUCAACUCUGUUUGAGAACAUCUGUUAAAUAAUUGUUGACAGUAUAGCAAAUUAUUUGGGAGAACUAAAGUAUUAGUUUCCCACAAUUUCUGGAAAAUCAGCAUAUUUUAUUUUUUGAAAGGAUUAUGAUUCAAAAAUAAGAUUGUUUUAAAAAAAUUAAAACGGGGGCCGGCGCUGUGGCAUAGCGAGUAAAGCUACCGCCUGCAGUGCUAGCAUCCCAUAUAGGUGCUGGUUCAGGUCCCGGCUGCUCCACUUCUGAUCCAGCUCUCUGCUAUUGCCUGGGAAAGCAGAAGAUGGCCCAAGUCCUUGGGCCCCUGUAACCACGUGGCCGGUAGAAGCUUCUGGCUUCGGAUCGGCACAGCUUUGGCCCUUGCUGCCAAUUGGGGAGUGAGCCAGUGGAUGGAAGAUUCUCUCUCUCUCUCUCCCUUUCUCUCUCUCUCUCUCUGUAACCCUGACUUUCAAGUUAGUAAAUAAGUCUUUAAAAAAAUUAAAACCAAAAACUUGUUCUUACCUCUUUUCAUGUUAUCCAUUGCUCUCAUUUAUAAUCAGUGUGUUUUAAUGAAAAUGAAAAUGUGGAAAAAUAGAAUCAUAUAUACUUCCUCUCUGAUACAAAAAGUAGAUUGAUUUGCACAAAGGAUAGUCUGUAAUUUAUACAAAAGUUCAAUUAAUAUGUAUACUGUACUUUUCCACUUAACAGAUCUCAUAAAAUAUUCAUAAAAGUACUUUUUUUUUCUUCUCUUUGACAUAAUAUUCUAGUAUUUGGAAGUAACAUAACUCUUUUAAUCAAUCCCCAGUUGAUUGCUUGGCACAUAGAGUACACCAUUAUUUCACUGUUAUGUGAAUUGUCAUGUCAUCAAAUAUAUACAUUUGAACAAAUUUAAGUGUCUUUGUGGGAGAGCUUUCCAGAAUGAUUGUUAGGCUAAAUGGAAGAGGCACCUAUGAUUUUGGUAGAUGUUGCCAGAUAUCAUUUUCAGGACUUAAUAUAUUUUUUACAUUCCUGUAAGCUAUUGGUCAACGUGCUUGGUUCCCACAGCUUUUCUAAUACUGUGUUGUUAAACUAUUCAGUUUUUUGCUAUUUUGAUGGACAACAAAUGGUAUCUGAGUAAUUUGUUUUUGUCAAUAUGAGUCUUAUUGGGCAUCAAGUGUUUAAAAGCUAUUUGGAUUUCUUUUUUGUGAUUAUUUAUCCUUUGCUAAUUUUUCUCCUGAGUUACUAAUUCUUUUCUUCUGUGUUCCUUGGUACUUUUUAUAUGUUACAGAUAUUAGUUCCUUAUAUGUGGUAGCAGUUAUGCAUUUUUUUUCCCAGUUUCUCUUCUGGCUUUGCCUAAGGUACUUUUCCAAUUUAGUUUGUUUUGCUUUAAAAAAAAAAUCUACCUACAUUUAUUACUUUUCUUUUUGCUUCUUAAUUUUGAGUUAUAAUUGCAAAGGCAGAAGCAGCAUUUCUUAAUGGAGUGGAAUAUUGUCUGGUAGGAGGGGUGCACAACAUGAACACUGGAGCAUGUUCCAGGCAAAUGUAUGCAGAUGUGCUUUUCUAGAAUAGCAUUCAGCGUUAUUUCUUCCUUUCUGUAAAUCAGUGGUCAUUUCUAACGUUGACAGAGUGUGGAAAGAGCUGGCCAUAUUUUGAAUCUGCACCAGUAAAAGAAAUGAAUUUGAUUCACUUUCUUUACUGCUGUCUCCUCAAAGAAGCAGCAAAAUGAAUAUUUUAAGGUUGUGGAUAUAUUUUGAGCCAUAGAAACUUUGAUAUUCAUAUUCUUCUGAUUCAGUGCUUUAAUAUUACUGUCUAUUCAGCAAUUAAAGGCUUUAAAUGUGAAUGUUGUCGUAGAUUAGAGCAUAUGACAAGUUGGCUUGCAUGCCAAGUAACAGAUAAGUAGUGGUAGUAAUAAUUUUUUAAACAUCAAUUUUCAGGUAACACAAAGAGUACUUUUAUUAAGGUAUAUUGCUAAGUAAAUACUUUUGGACAUCCUUCAUUAGGUGUACCAGUUGGUGAACAUUUAUUUAGCUUUAGACAUUUGGCAUACAACUUGUUUGCAGAUAAGUAUUAAGUAUGCUUUUCUUUCAAUAAAUGUAUAUGAUUUUUUUGAGAUUAAAAGUGUCAUUACCAGUAAACUGUUACAAGCUAAUUUGGUUUAUAAAGAAAGCUGUUGGAAGAGAACCUAUUAAAAUAUGAUAAUAUAACAAAAUCAAGCUAUAAAGGCUUUUAAACCUUGUUUUGGGGUUAUAAAAAUUAGCAUUUUCAUUUUUGAUUAGCCUAGUAAUUACAUAUUUAGUAGUUAAUACUCCUUGUUAGUUGGAACAAGCAUUGUGGGAAGUAUAAAACAGUUUAGGCUUCCCUCAGUUGUAAAGCUUUAAAUAAAAUUACAAAUUAUUAAAACAUUUUAAGUCCUGGCUUAUAAAGAAUUUAUUUAAACGUUUCCAUGUUCAGUGGAUUUGUGAAAUUGAAUUAUUAUAGCCCUCCUUUUUUUUUUUUUAAGUUUUCUUUUCUAGACAGGAGAGAAGAGACCCCCCCCCUUCCCCAAAUUUGGAUGCUCUCCAAGAGCUCUAUGUGUGUGCCUGAGAAGUUAUAAUCACUUGAUUCGAGUCUGAGUUUUAUUGGACAGGCUUGUCUGGUGGGUUAAAAUCCCCUCAUCCUUUUCCAGAUGAUAACUGGCUUGUUUUUCUCCCCUUAAAAAUAGUAAGAAUUUACUUUUUGUAGUGAUAUCAGACCUGGAGACAUAGGCCACCUUGGUUCCAUGUGCUGCUGGCUUAAAGAAAGAAUGAAAUAUGAAAAGACAAAAACAAAGAAGGGCGUAAAAGAAAAGAAAGACUUAUGAUGGGUUGGCGCACAGAAAUGUCAUAUUCCAAUCACGACAUGAGAAAUGGUUGGAUUGCCUGUCCUACUAGGAGAUUCUCGACUGACAUUUUGUCGUGUUAUUGUGUCCACGCUAUUUAGUUCCUCCUGGAGCCUUCCGAAUUUCACACGCACUGCUUCAAUCAGCUCCUGCAGAGCGGAUAACUUACCUAGGGACCCAGGCCUUCCUGGACAAGCAGCCAAUCUUGAACGGGGCGACUGCCCUUGUUUUAUAUUUUUAAAUUUUUUUGCAUUUCAAAGUAUAGGUGUUUGUUACAGUAAUUUAUUGGAAGUUAAAAGCCAUUGAAUUUUUCUAGAAAUAUAUAUAUAUGCACACAGAUAGAUAUCUUUCUGUGUGUGUGUAUAAAUAUAUAUAUAUAUAUAGAGAGAGAGAGAGAGACAGAGAGAGAGGAUGGAUUAUGUAGAAAUGAACCUACCUGCUGGCAUUUUUUUAUUUAAAAACUUUUAUAUUGUGACAUAAAGCAUUUUUGUAUCUCUAUAAACUAAUGUGUCUUUAUUUUCUAGUACAUAUUUCUGUAAUGUAAACUUGCCUGUGUAGAUACAAAAAGCAGUUUGAAAACUGUUUUCUGUGUUUACAAAAUAUACGUUAAUGGGAUUUGAGUGGGAAGGGUUUGAGACAACUCAGAUUUAGUAAGAAAGUGGAGGAGAGGGAAUUUUCCUAAGAAGCUUUAGACUACGUGCAAGUUGAGAAUCUAUCCUGUAUGUAGUAGAGGUAAAGGUCCAACUCUGCCAUUAAUUUAAAAGAAAACUAAGAUUUUGGUAGAAUCCUGAGUAAAUUAUUUUUAGAGUUUUAAAGAUCUUAAAAAAUGUUACACAUCAAACUGGGCUUUAAAACAGUAACAAAAAUUUGGGCCUACUUUUUCAGAUGUAUACUUACCUUAAAAUGAGUAGCAGUUAGGUAAAAGGGAGGGGUACUAGAGGAAAAAAAUGUUAUAAUGUCCUGUUUUAAUUAAGGGUUGAAAUAUAUUUCACAUGAAAAAUAGAGUUUAAUUUUUAGUAUUAUUAUUUAAAUCAGUGUGCCAGAAUUUUCAGUGUGGAUAGAGAAGAAGAGGCUCUGAUUUUGUAAGCUGCAACAAUAAAUAUAUAUAUUUCAAAUGCUAAUGUGUUAGGUUUUUAACUUUUCAUUUCAUUUUGAAAAUAUGUAGCAACCACAUUAGAUUUUUGAGUAAUAGUAUUAACAGUAAAUAAGCAAGCAUGGAUCUAAAAUUAAACAAAAUGAAUUAGGACUUUAAGAUGUGGAUACUUUUACUUAAUAUUCUAUAUGGGGAAGAUACUGUAUUAUCAAGGCAUCAAAUGUGUUUCAUGUUAAUCAAGAACAUUGGUAUUUUAAAAAAUUUGUUUAUGUUUUCUGCGAUUAUAACACUGUUUGCCUUUCCUCAGACUGAAUUUGAGUUGAUUAUUUCUUAGUGCCUUUAGGCAAUCAGUGGCAUUUAAGUUUUGUAAAAGAAAACUUUGUGCAUAAGAUGUUUCCAAUAAAACAAAAAGCUCAUUGAA